rnacentral:tRNA from 1 species
GGCGCCAUGGCGGAAUGGCUACGCAGCGGAUUGCAAAUCCGCGUAUCCCGGUUCAAUUCCGGGUGGCGCCUCCA